AUUGAACGCUGGCGGCAUGCCUUACACAUGCAAGUCGAACGGUAACGGGCCUUCGGGUGCCGACGAGUGGCGAACGGGUGAGUAAUGUAUCGGAACGUACCUUUCAGUGGGGGAUAACGUAGCGAAAGUUACGCUAAUACCGCAUAAUCUGUGAGCAGGAAAGCAGGGGAUCGCAAGACCUUGCGCUGAUUGAGCGGCCGAUAUCAGAUUAGCUAGUUGGUGAGGUAAAAGCUCACCAAGGCGACGAUCUGUAGCGGGUCUGAGAGGAUGAUCCGCCACACUGGAACUGAGACACGGUCCAGACUCCUACGGGAGGCAGCAGUGGGGAAUUUUGGACAAUGGGGGCAACCCUGAUCCAGCCAUGCCGCGUGAGUGAAGAAGGCCUUCGGGUUGUAAAGCUCUUUCGGCCGGGAAGAAAUCGUAUCAGCUAAUACCUGGUGCGGAUGACGGUACCGGCAUAAGAAGCACCGGCUAACUACGUGCCAGCCGCCGCCGUAAAAC
rnacentral:rRNA from 1 species